CCUAGAGUUGUAGGACUUGGUCUGCUAUCUCUUACCCAUGUCUUUUGAGUACUUACGUUUCCUCGGCGGGUCCGCCCGCCGGUUGGACAAUUUAAACCAUUUGCAGUUGCAAUCAGCGUCUGAAAAACUUUAAUAGUUA
rnacentral:misc_RNA from 1 species